rnacentral:rRNA from 1 species
AAAACUCAAAUGAAUUGACGGGGGCCCGCACAAGCGGUGGAGCAUGUGGUUUAAUUCGAUGCAACGCGAAGAACCUUACCUGGUCUUGACAUCCACGGAAGUUUUCAGAGAUGAGAAUGUGCCUUCGGGAAGCGUGAGACAGGUGCUGCAUGGCUGUCGUCUGCUCGUGUUGUGAAAUGUUGGGUUAAGUCCCGCAACGAGGGCAACCCUUAUUCUUUGUCGCCAGCGGUCCGGCCGGGAACUCAAAGGAGACUGCCAUUGAUAUACUGGAGGAUGGUGCGGAUGAGGUCUAGUCAUCAUGGCGGGUACGACCAGCGCUAAACACGUGCUACAAUGGCGCAAAGGUGACAAACCGGAGGCCGGCGAGAGCUUGCGGACCUCAUAAAGUGCGUCGUAGUCCGGAUUGGUGUCUGCCACUCGACUCGAUAAAGUUGGAUUCGCUAGUUAUUGUGUAUCAGUUUGCCACGUUGAAUACGUUCGCGGGCCUUGUACACACCGCCCGU